rnacentral:rRNA from 1 species
UUAGAGAUACUUUAGUGGCGGACGGGUGAGUAACGCGUGAGGAGCUGUCCAAUGCAGGGGGACAACAGUUGGAAACGACUGCUAAUACCCCAUAAGCCGAGAGGUAAAAGGAUUUAUCCGGCAUGGGAGGUACUCGCGUCCUAUCAGCUAGUAGGUGAGGUAACGGCUCACCUAGGCGAAGACGGGUAGCCGGCCUGAGAGGGCGAACGGCCACACUGGAACUGAGAUACGGUCCAGACUCCUACGGGAGGCAGCAGUGGGGAAUAUUGGGCAAUGGGGGGAACCCUGACCCAGCGACGCCGCGUGGGUGAAGAAAUCCUUCGGGAUGUAAAGCCCUGUUGUAUGGGAAGAGCGGAAGACGGUACCAUACGAGGAAGCCCCGGCAAACUACGUGCCAGCAGCCGCGGUAAUACGUAGGGGGCAAGCGUUGUCCGGAAUUACUGGGCGUAAAGCGCACGCAGGCUGAAUUAUAAGUCGGUAGUAAAAGGCGGGGGCUCAACUUCCGUAUAUCUAUCGAUACUGUAAAUCUAGAGUAUGUGAGAGGGAAGCGGAAUUCCCGGUGUAGCGGUGAAAUGCGUAGAUAUCGG